UGUCAGACUGGUGUAACAAAGCAUUGUAGGUGUUCAGGCACCAAAAUCUCCUGAGCCUUCCCUGUGUGUUCAGGCAUAUCCUGUGCUGGGCUGUGUGAGUGCCCAUGCAGAGCCCUGGCUGGGAACAAUGCAGAGACCCGCUGGGCAAGAACAGAAUUUGUGAAGGGCUCAGGGAAAAAGGAGAAAACACCAAACAGCUCAGCCCUGCCAAGGGACUGGGAGCCCUAGAGCUGCCCAAAGGCAAAUUCCAGGCACUUGCCAGGCUUCAAGGAAAAAAGCUGCAGUGCCUACAAAUUCUGGGUUUAUUUUGACUAGCAGCUGCACAGGCAUUUUGAGAAGCCACAUUUUGGACAUGGGUGUACCGCAGCUGAGUCACUUUUCAGUUGCUGCUCAGGGCGGACAGAGAAAUCCUAUCUCCUGUGAAAGGAAAAUUGGCCGCCGGAGUCCCAAAAGUGCCCCGAGGAUCAACUGAAAUGAAAGUAAACCGAUAAUUUCCAGAUCGCGUGGAAAACAGAGGGAUAUCGAAUUUAAGCACCGCAAGCUCAGCCCGGCAGGACGAGCCUGUCCUGGAGCACUUUAUCUCGCUGCCAUUCGAGGGAGAUGCCCAGGUCAUUCUGCUCUUUUUAUUACUUUUAUUUAUCAUUCUGAGCACAAGCAGCCCUUCCUUUCCCUGUAUCACAAACCUGCACGUUCAUGGUAAAAUAUCAAUUUGUCAUUUGUGUGUGAGGAAGGUGCCGGGGGAGAAAAGUCUGGGGGCUUUGGGGAGCCCCGCAUGCAGCAUCCACAGGUGUUUAAUGUACUAGGAGGAAAGUUGGCAUAACUGGGCAUUGAGAUUUUUUUUAUCCCGGAAUAAUUCUCCAAUUACUCUGAUGCCUGUCUGGAACUCAGAUUCAGUUUAAAAAAAAAUCCAAAAAACCCAAAAACCAACCUUGUUUUCCGUCAGGUGGGGAUGUGUAUUGAUUUACCCGAGUAUUUACUCUCUACUGAAUUCAGUGAGAAAAAACAGCUCUAGAGUCACUUACUUCACCUUGAAUCCUCGGUGAAGGGUGUGUUUGAACUGGGAGUGUUCCCACCUCCCUGCUCCCCCAGAUUUCAUGUUUCCCCAUAGCUCUGGGCCCUGGCUAAGGGGUGCCUAGGGGUUUUCUCUGGCUCGUUUUGACCGCGGGAUGUGAUCAGAUGCAGGAGGAACUCCCUGGGCAGCUGGAGGUGCUGCAGAUGUGGGUGCAGAGAUCUGUUAGCCAGCAGAUCGUGGUGGCUCCUCUGUUUUCCCAAAGCUUCUCCCACGCACGAGGAGGAGAUGCUAUUUAUGACUCCUAAUAGAUCUGGAUUAAGGUAAUUUAGGAAUCCUUAGGUUCGUCUCUCAGCUCGGGAAGAUGACAGGCUCUGGGAGGUAUGGAUGGGUGACAUUUCCACCAUGAGAUCCGUCCUUCCCCCUCCCUGCUGCCCCCCUUCGCGUCCCCCCCUUCCAGCCCUAAAUGUGUCAUGCUUUGUCACAUCCUCUGCGUGUGUGUUUUUAGAGAACAUUUGAAUAAAAGGCUCGAUGCCAGGUAUUGGUGACACAGUGGGUGGAAUUUGCAGCCUUUCCACAAAGAGUUGGAAGCCUCCAUUUGCAUAAGGUCAGGGUACAGCUUCUCACAGAACUUUAGCAGCAUCUCUGUCUCUUAGCAACACUCUUGCACUCUUGGUCCCUGCAUUAAAUUGACUGGUCCUUUCCUUUUCUUCCUUUCAUAGGGAGGCUUACAAUAAAAUGUCACCCUUCCAACCUGUGCCUGUCACCCAGUAGGUCAUCUGUUUCUCUUACACCUCCUCCCCCCCACCACCACUUCAUCUCCAAUUAGGGGAUGAGAUUAUUCAUUUGGUGGAUUCCCAAAACUGCUUCAUUUUUUAUUUUGUUAAUUAAUAUUAAUAACAUUUCUCCCUUUGUAUUAAUAAAAAGGAGCCCUCAUAAACAGUGAGGAGAUAAGGAGCAAAUUGCAGGCACCUGCAAAACAAUGGGAUUGGAGUGGGGUAAUAAGGCGAGUGGAGAUAGAGAGAGCAAGGUUUAGGUCAUCCUCUCCACCCAUUUAGUUGAUGCAGGGUUGAACUCAGCAUGGAAGCCUUCAAUGUGCUCAGAAUAUUAGAGUCACCCCUCUUGGCUCCGGCAUGGGAAUUGGUGACAGAAUACAGAUGCUGAUAGGUGGUGUUAAUGGAGGGUCAGGCUUGGACAAUAGUAUCCAUCACUUGCCUCAUGGCUCUGCUGUCAGAUGGAGUCAUUUCUGACUGCUCUAUCACCAAGAUUUGGGAGAGAUUCAAUUAUUACCUUAGGCUUGGCAGCGCUAGAUACAAAUCUAUGCCCAAAGGACUGGAAAAAUCACCCCCGUCUUCUUCUCUCCCAAAAUGUUUCCCCCCCCCCCUUCCUGAAUAAAAUAAUUUUUUUUAAGGGGGGUGGGGGGUGGGGGGGAAGAGAAAUUUUUUUAAAAAAAGAAAAUCGAUGUCCGUGGCAUUCGAUCUAUCCCUCUGCUACGAAUUCCUGGGGGGAAAAUCAGCCAACGCUUUGCUCGGCCUGAGAGUUACCCACCAGUUCCACCUCACUGUCAAACUUUUGUAGGGAGGGUUAUGGCAGAACCUCUAAACUUUGGAGUCUGUACCCAAAGUUCGUGCUUUCCCCCCCGAGAUUCCGGGCUCUGCAUCCCUGGCAGGGAACUAAAUCCCGCCCCUGGGUGCCAGGGGAUGUGCAGGACACACUGCAGAGCCCCUCCUCGCCCAGGGCGGGUGGGGAGAUUAUUUAUCAAGAGCCCUCGUUAACUUUAAGAACGGGGCUAAAGGACAAACUUUAAGCACGAAAAAAGCUCUCCAUUUUCCCCUUUUCUACUUUUUAAAGGUAUUUAAGUGGUGAUAGCCGUUUUAAAUUCAGUUCGGAUUUUAUUCCCUGGCUCCCUGUGGCGACCUGAUCCACUUCUGAGGAGGAAUGGCUUGUUUUCUCUUACACGUUAUCCACCUCUUGAGUGGCGCAAAUGCUAAGGUGAAACCUGGUGCUUUUCAGCGGUAUUUCUUCAAAACUCUUAUUCAAAUGCCCCCCUCCCUCCUCGCUGUUCCUCCCGAAGCUUUCAGACACUGUAAUUCCUGCAAGAUAAAUUCUCAGGUAAUGGGUUCUGAGAAAAAGCAACAGAGGUUAGGAGUCAACUGCCUCCUCUUUAAUAAUUCACAUGUCAUAUUUCUUCCACUUUGUCAAGUUGGCUAAAGAAGAUGGGCAGGGCUGAGACAGGCAGACACUUGAGUUUAUUAUCCGAGGACUAGGGGGACCCAGGGAAAGGCGAUGCCCCCGCUGCCUCUGGCAAUUCCUGCUGCCCGCUCCAGGGUUGUUUCUGCUCGCCCAGGUCCAGGGACUGAGCACAGGAACUCCUGCCUGCCUUUGCUCUUCCUCGGAUCCCCCAUCCUCCUCUCCUAUUUGCCUUUAAAGCUGUUACUCGUCCCUUCGAUUAUUUUACUACUAUUUUUUUAAGUGUAAAACAGGUAAAUUAAAAAUCAACCUCAGCAAAAGCCCGUAUUUUAUUUGAUUUGAUUUUUAUUUUAUCCACUGUGCUGUGAUUUGUCUCCCUGAGUGCUAAUACACUCUUGGAUGGGAUAUUUCUCUACUCAGCUCUGUAAAACUUUUGGGACUCGCUGGCUGAAAUUCAAACAGUUUUGGAGAUUUAGCAGUGAGAUGAGGAAGUUUGGGCUCUCUUCCCCCAAAGCAGCGGUGCUACAAAACACCAAAUGUAGGCAAAAAACCGUCACUGAAGGGGAAGAAACAAAUAGUUCACUCUUAUGAAAUUGGUCACCAUUCCUUAAAUGAUAAAGGUCUCCAAAAAGAGUUGAAAAUGUAUGUAUUAUAAUCCGAGGAAUCCCCACUAAUUUGUCUUUUCAGACGGCUUUGAGAAAAACCUCCAAGAUUUUCUAAAUUUGCACUUUCCUGCCUCAUCCUUGACACAUCCUUCCACCACAUUCCCCAGCCCUUUCCCCGAGUGUGAGUGCCGAUAAUGUCAUGUACCUGUGAAGGUGUCAGCUGCAUUUUGAAAUAAAACAGAAGGAGAAGAAAAGCAGUUCCCUGAGCCCCACUGCCUGCUCUGGAAAGCGCAUAUACAGGUGAAAACACGAGUGACAGCAGAGCAGAAAAUGUCCUUAUUCUUCUGGGAGCUGCCUCUUUUCCCCUUUUACUAUAUUAUUAUUUUCCUCAUACUAUCGUUUAGAGUAAAAAUAGGGGUUUUUUCAACAGUCUUUCAUUGAAGCAGCAACACAUUUUAACUGAUCUUUUGCAGUGUGGUCUCUUAUGUGUGGCCAUAAGUCUUAUCCAGAAACAGUAAAUCUAUCUUAUCUGUCAGAUUUUGGUAACUUUAUACAUGAAAGGGAAGAGCAAGCAACUUUGGAGGAUUUAGAAAAAGGACUUAUCAGUGUAAGCAAGGAUAAGAGCAAACCCUGAGGCCCAUGGGAAGUUUGCCCUUGUGAUAGUGGCCAGGGUUUGUUACAUUUUUGGUUAGAGGCUCAUGACUUUCACCCUUCCUGCAAGCAUCAUUUCCAGAAACAGGCAGCUCUGCUGUGCGGUGAAGAUUGCUCUGGGAUUUCGUUGGGGUUUGUUUUCCCUUCCGAGAAAACCCUUUGUGUUACUGGGGCUUCAACACUUCAAAAACAAAUAUAAACCCGAAACGAGACCCACGAGCCAAAGAGAAAUAGCAAGCUGACAGUCACCCGGCCGGCUGGAGGGGGCUGGGGGAGCAUCCUUUGGGAGGGGAAGCAGAAGAGCUCCGUGCUGGGAUUCCUGCCUCCAGCCCUCCCGACGGCACCCUGCGUGCCUCGUGUCUUGCACAGGGGUGGCAGGCUGGCACCGAGGUCACCCCUGGGCUCUAAAAGCGCACGAAUGUCCCCAAACUGUCUGCGACUGUCGCGUUUCUCCCUCCCUGCCCCGAGGAGGGUGAGGGGCUCCCUGCGCAGCACUCACCUGCCAUAAGGCACAGCAUUACCCCGCCUGAAACUCUUCAAUUCACAGUCUGACACUUCGAAACUUUUUUUUUUAAUUAUUAUUAUUUCUUUUCCAGACACCAGCACUUUUUUUUUUUUUUUUUACUUUUUUUUUCCCCCAGUUCCCGGGAUGGGAGUUGAUUUUCCCGGUGCCAAGCCGCUCCCAGAGACACCCGGCAGGGCUCGAAGGGAGAGACAGAGCCAUCCUCCAUUGGCAACCAGCGAUGAAACGCACUUGAAAAGCUGCCAGGGAGAAUUAGGAUGGUAGCCCUAUCCUGCAAAAUCAGAUGGUUUGCAGUGUCCCUGAGCAGCUGUUAAGCUUGUUGAGUUGGGUUUUUUUUAUUAGUAUUAGUAGUAUUAUUUCCAGGCAUAUUUUUUUAACACCUGCGAAGUUUGUCUAUGAGGAUGCCACUAAAGACAGAAGUACUGAGUGCUUGACAGACUCCAUAAAGUCCCUGGCAUCCUUCUGGGUACGUGACAGGUCCGAGGAGCGGGAUGCGAGAGCCGGGGGCUGAGCGCGGCCCGAGGGAGCGCCGCUCCCUGCCCGCUCCGCCUGGCACCGCGGGGCGAUGCCAGCCCCCUGCAGCCCGGCAGAGCUGCCCUCCCGGCCCAGAACGGGACAGGGACGGAGGGCUUGGGUGGGGAAGCCACCUGCAGCCCAUCCCUCCCGCCUCAGUCGCACACAGCCCGUCCUGCGCGGCGCAAAGGGGACAGAAGCUCUCUAGAAGAGUAGAAAGCACCGAUUUAAUAGGGGAAUAAAAAAAAUAAAAAUUAAAACAAAAUUAAAAAUAAAAAGAGGUCUGGUGUUCUUCUCUGCUCCUUGUUCUCCGGUGAGGAGCUGCCGCUGGUAGCGGGGCUCUGUCGGCCAGCUCCGGGGAGCUCUGCCCGGCGGAGGAUGAGCUGCGCUCCCGCCGGCAGCAUCAGCAUCCCCCGGCAUGAGCGAUCCUGCUCACACUCCUGCCAUCAGUGUCCCUGCUCACAUCCCUGCCAUCAG